rnacentral:rRNA from 1 species
GAGUUUGAUCCUGGCUCAGGAUGAACGCUGGCGGCGUGCUUAACACAUGCAAGUCGAACGGGAAAUAUUUCAUUGAGACUUCGGUGGAUUUGAUCUAUUUCUAGUGGCGGACGGGUGAGUAACGCGUGAGUAACCUGCCCUAGAGUGGGGGACAACAGUUGGAAACGACUGCUAAUACCGCAUAAGCCCACGGUACCGCAUGAUACUGAGGGAAAAGGAUUUAUUCGCUUUAGGAUGGACUCGCGUCCAAUUAGCUAGUUGGUGAGGUAACGGCCCACCAAGGCGACGAUUGGUAGCCGGACUGAGAGGUUGAACGGCCACAUUGGGACUGAGACACGGCCCAGACUCCUACGGGAGGCAGCAGUGGGGGAUAUUGCACAAUGGGGGAAACCCUGAUGCAGCGACGCCGCGUGGAGGAAGAAGGUUUUCGGAUUGUAAACUCCUGUCGUUAGGGACGAUAAUGACGGUACCUAACAAGAAAGCACCGGCUAACUACGUGCCAGCCGCCGCGGUAAUUC